rnacentral:rRNA from 1 species
CCUUCAUGAAGUCGGAAUUGCUAGUAAUGGCAGGUCAGCAUACUGCCGUGAAUACGUUCCCGGGCCUUGUACACACCGCCCGUCACACCAUGAGAGUUGGGAAUACCCGAAGCCUGUGAGCCAACAAACGAGGCAGCAGUCGAAGGUAGAAUCAAUGAUUGGGGGUGAAGUCGUAACAAGGUAAC